rnacentral:rRNA from 1 species
UACGGGGGGGGCAAGCGUUGUUCGGAAUUACUGGGCGUAAAGGGCGUGUAGGCGGCCAACUAAGUCCGACGUGAAAUCCCCAGGCUUAACCUGGGAACUGCGUCGGAUACUGGAUGGCUUGAAUCCGGGAGAGGGAUGCAGAAUUCCAGGUGUAGCGGUGAAAUGCGUAGAUAUCUGGAGGAAUACCGGUGGCGAAGGCGGCAUCCUGGACCGGCAUUGACGCCGAAGCGCGAAAGCUAGGGGAGCAAACGGG